UACAGAGGGGGCAAGCGUUGUUCGGAAUUACUGGGCGUAAAGGGCGCGUAGGCGGCCGCCUAAGUCAGACGUGAAAUCCCUCGGCUCAACCGGGGAACUGCGUCUGAUACUGGGUGGCUUGAAUUCGGGAGAGGGAUGCGGAAUUCCAGGUGUAGCGGUGAAAUGCGUAGAUAUCUGGAGGAACACCGGUGGCGAAGGCGGCAUCCUGGACCGGUAUUGACGCUGAUGCGCGAAAGUCAGGGGAGCAAACGGG
rnacentral:rRNA from 1 species